UACGUAGGGUGCAAGCGUUGUCCGGAAUUAUUGGGCGUAAAGAGCUCGUAGGCGGUCUGUCGCGUCGGCUGUGAAAACUCGGGGCUCAACCCCGAGCCUGCAGUCGAUACGGGCAGACUAGAGUGCGGUAGGGGAGAUUGGAAUUCCUGGUGUAGCGGUGGAAUGCGCAGAUAUCAGGAGGAACACCGAUGGCGAAGGCAGAUCUCUGGCCGUGAACUGACGCUGAGGAGCGAAAGCAUGGGGAGCGAACAGG
rnacentral:rRNA from 1 species